AUGGAGGCCCAAGGUCCGGCAGCCCCCUAUUCCUUGGGCUUCGCUUGGGGCGCGGACGGCGGGUCGCGGGCGCAGAGCUGGGCGCGCACCUCCCGCAUCUGCACCUGCAGCUCCUCCAGCGCCCUCUGCUGCGGCGCCGCCCGCACCUGGUCGUGCAGGGCGGCCAGCGCCAGCGCCAGGUGGUCCACCUCGUCCCGCAUCGCGCUCCAGGCGGCGCGCCGCGCUGUCUCCUUGCGACGGUGGUGCGCCUGGUGGCGCCAGAACUCCAGCACCAGGCAGCCGCCGGCCACCGCGAAGACCGUGGCCUCGCCCAGCAGCUCGGCGCCCAGCUCGGCGGCCGCGUCCUCGUUCAGCGGCUUCACGGCGGCCGCGUUGAAGCCCAUGAGGCGCAUCUUGGCGCGCAUCUCCACCCAGUGGUACACUGCGGGGAAGAGGGAGAUGCUGCUACACCUGGGACAAGUUCAUCGUCAUCCCCAUGGAUCCCCAGAAGUCUGAGGCUGAAGACUGCAGGACCUACAUCCAGAAAAUCCUAGGAGCUCUGCACUCCACGGAGAGACAUAUGCUACCAGUGUCAACACUUAGCUGUGACCCAGCUUCCCGCUGGGUGACCCUGGACAAGUGUCCCGCCCUCUCUGGGCCCAGUUUACCUGUCACCAGGUGAAGGGUACGCAGAAGAACUUCUUAUCCAGCCAGAGGUGGGCUGGGGUGUUCGUGGUCUCUCCCCACAGCCCCCAAAGUGACAUGUCUGGAGAGGAGUGUCCUUUUUGUCUGCAAGUCAGUGGGGCACCUCCUCUGGUUCUCUGAGUCCAUCCUCACUGCCCCCCAGGUCCCAGAUCCCCAUGUCUGUGAUAGGAAGUCCCCUGGGUGUCCCACAAGAAUGUCUGACUCCACAUGUGUGCAGGAAUGGGUGUGUGGGCCAAGAAAAGAGGCUCAUCUGGUUGUUGGAAGUCAAGGCCACGUGGAAACCACCCAAUGGCCACCAGCCACCAGCAGUGCCACCUGCUGCCCCCUUCAAGGGUUCUCUCAUGGGGGUAUUUCAAGGCCAAGAGAAACUCUGUCUCUAAACCUGGACACCAGGGUGUCUGGGUUUCUCUUCCUACGUGUUACAGAAUAGAAUGAAAAUCCGCGUAAAGGGACACCUGUGGCUCAGUGGUUGAACAUCUACCUUUGGCUCAGGUUCUGAUCCCAGGAUCCAGGACUGAGUCCUGCAUCGCGCUGCCUGCAUGGAGCCUGCUUCUCCCUCUGCCUAUGUCUCUGCCACUCUGUGUGUGUGUGUGUGUCUCUCAUGAAUAAAUAAAUAAAUCUUAAAAAAAAAAAAAAGAGGGGCUCGCUGGGUGGCUCAGUGGUUUAGUGCCUGCCUUUGGCCCAGAGCGUGAUCCUGGAGUCCCGGGAUCGAGUCCUGCGUCAGGUUCCCGGGAUCGAGCUUGCUUCUCCCUCCUCCUGUGUCUCUGCCUCUCUCUCUAUGUCUAUCAUGAAUAAAUACAUAAAAUCUUAAAAAAAAAAGAAAAAGAAAAUAAAAUCCAUACGAAGAUUUGUGCACAGUCUUGUGUGAAGAUAUCCCAGUGGAGGGGCAUCUGGGUGGCUCAGUUGGUUAAUCAUAUGCCUUUGGCUUGGGUCAUGACCCCAGGUCCUGGGAUGGAGCCCUGCACCCUUGCUCCACGGGGAGCCUGCUUCUCCCUCUCCCUCUGCCUGCUGCUCCUGCUUAUGCUCUCUCUCUCUCCCUCUCUUUCUAUGUGAAAUAAAUAAAUAAAAUCUUUUAAACAAACAAACAAACAAACAAACAUCCCAUGAAAAUAUCUAUAUCCAUAGUCAAGAAAUGAUUUUUUUGGUCCCAGACAACACAGCAGAAAGUCACAAGAAGUCUCUGGAAGAUCCGGGCCCCCUCAGACCACCAGCAAAGUGGAGUAGGCUUGUUCUUUCUUUGAGAGGUCAGAGCUAUUCAGGGGGAGUCAUCAGAGACUGUGGGAAUGUAUUAGUCUCCUCUGGCUGCUGUAACAUAUUACCAUGAACUUGAGGACUUAAUCCAGAUUUUUUUUCCUCUCACAGUUGUGGAGGACAGUCCAAAAUCAGCAUCACUGGGCCAAGAUCAAGGUGUCAGGUGGGCUGCAGUCCCUCCAAAAGCUCAAGAGAAGAGUCGAUUCUCUGUGGCUUCCAACUUCUGGUGGCUGCUGGCAUUCCUGGGCUUCUGGCUGCCCCACCCCAUCUCCAACUCCACCUUCACAUGGCCUCUCCUCUGUGUGUGAUCUCCCUCUGACCAUCUCUUGUGAGCACACUGUGAUGGCAGUUAGGACUCGGUUGGACAAUCCAGAAAAAUCUCUGCAUCUCAAGAUCUUUAACUUCCUCACAUCUGUAAAACUUUUAUCACAUGAGGUCACAUUUACAGGUCCCACGGAUUAGGACCUGUGCUCUUUGGAGGGAGGGGAGCGCACCAUUCAGCCCACUCCAAUUUUACUAUAUGUGCUGCCGAAGCGAGCACCAGCCCACUCCAGAUUCAGGGUAGAAGGGCCUGGAGGCUACAGGCUGGCUGCGAUUUGGCCAGGUAUCCUGUGAUUCUCAAGGAUUCACUGACUCAGCAAAUGCAGGAGUAUUAGAGAGAGACAGAGGGAGGCGUAAAGGGUCCACACUAGAGAGGUCCUGGUGGGGAGAAACUGAGGCACCUACCAACAGCCAACACCAAUUUGCUGGCCUCGUGUGUAAGCCUCCUUGCAACUGGACUGUGCACCUGUCAAGUCUUUGGAUGACUGCAGCCCCAGUCUGAACCUCACGAGAGAUCCAGGGCCAGAACCACCCAGAAGUGCCCAGCUAAGCCUAACUUUCUGAGCCUCAGCAAUAUUGGUUUUUGCUUUAAACUGUUAAUGUUUGGGGCACCUGGGUGGCUCAGUUGGUUAAGCAUCUGCCUUUGACUCAUGUCAUGAUGCUGGGGUCCUGGGAUUGAGCCCCACAUCAGGUUCCUUGCUCCUUGGGGAGUCUGCUUCUCCCUCUCCCUCUGCUCUCCUCCCUGCUUGUGUGCUUACGCUCUUUCUCUCUGUGUCAAAUAAAUCAAUCAAAUCUUAAAAAAAAAAAAAACUGUUAAAGUUUGAGUCAUCUGGGCAGUAACUAAGACAUGGGGUGAGAGGAGAGGGCACAGGGCUGCAACAGGGCCCUCUGAGGGACUUUCUCUUUACCCCACACCUUUUGUUUCUCAGUGAUGCUGCAUUUCUCUGUUUUUACAUAACUGGAACUUGGUUUAGGAGAGCUGCAGAGAGCAGAGUGAGUGUUCAUCUUCUACCACUUUCCCUGCUCGGUCGUGACUAGCCAGGCACUAUGUUUCCAUGUGACCAUAGUGUGUCCCAAGUGAGAUGCAGACACACGGUUGGCACAACAUCUGGUGGCAUGGCCCUAGGAGAUGCUCACGCUCGUGCAGGACGUGGCAACUCUGGGCAUGCUAAGGCCUGGAAGACAAACUCUAACCUGUGCUUAGAUGUUCCCGUCCCCCCAACUCCAAACUGGCAGAUCCGCCACAUGCGGCACCUCCCUUAGAACACCGUUUAAGAUAAUACAUGACAUUCACUGCAGAUGGAAAGACUGAUGUUGGCUCUCAGUCCCACCAACAAUAUUCCUGGCACCUUAGGAUGCUAAGUGAAGCUCUGCGGUAGAGGUAAUGGAGGGAUUAAAUGGGUCUGUGAUAAAGAGCACUGACCACCCAGCUUGAUACUAAACACUCAAUAGAUUGACAUCAUUAUUAUUAAUUUAUUCCACAGAACCUAGAUGUUCUACAGGAAACACGACACCUAAAACAAAAAACAAAAACUCUCCCCCAAAUCAAUCUUGCAACAUAAAGAGCAAAAUAUUUUUCCUAUUUAUUUGAGAGAGAGAAAGAGAGAGAGAGCAAGCAUGAGAAGGGGCAGAAGCAGAGGGUGAAGCAGGACUCCCUGCUGAGCGGGAGCCCAAUGUGGGGCUCGAUCCCAGGACUCUGAGAUGACGACCUGAAGCCGAAGGCAGACGUUUUUUUUUCAAGGAAGUCGAGCUGUUUCAGAAAUGCAUUUCAACAAUUGGUGAGUAGAUAUACAAAUUGUGGUAUGCCCAUUCAGUGGGACAUUACUCAAGGAUAAAAAUAAAUGAGCUACCAAGCACAAAAAGACAUCUAAUAACCUUGAAUGCAUAUUGCUAAGUGAAAGAAGGCAGUCUGAAAAGGCUGCGUGUCAUAGGAUUCCAAGUAUUUAGCGUUGCCAGAGGCUCAGGGAGUGGGGAGGGAGGGAGGAACAGGUGUAGCCCAGGGGUUUUUUAGGGCAGUGAAACCAUUUUUUUUUUAGAUUUUAUUUAUUUAUUCAUGACAGACACACAGAGAGAGGCAGAGGGAGAAGCAGGCUCCCUCCGGGGAGCCUGAUGUGGGACUUGAUCCCAGGACCCCAAGGAUCACACCCUGAGCCAAAGGCAGAUGCUCAACCACUGAGCCACCCAGAUGCCCCCAGGGAAACUGUUCUAUGUGAUACUGUACUGGUGGAUAUAUGGCAUUAUACAUUUGUCCAACCCCAUAGAAUGUAUAACACCGAGUUGAAAACCCAGUGAAAACUAAGGACUUUGGGGCACCUGGGUGGCUCAGUGGUUGAACAACUGUC
rnacentral:lncRNA from 1 species